GAUUUCAUAGUAACGGCGAGCGAACUGGAAAGAGCCCAGAUUGAAAAUCGGGGUAUCAUGCCCCGAAUUGUAGUCUGAAGAAGUGUCCUCUGUAGCGGACCGGGCCUAGGUUCCUUGGAAUGGGACGCCGGAGAGGGUGAGAGCCCCGUCCGGCCCGGACCCUGCUGCUCCACGAGGCGCUAUCAUCGAGUCGGGUUGUUUGGGAAUGCAGCCUCAAGUGGGUGGUAAAUCUCAUCCAAGGCUAAAUACUGGCAAGAGACCGAUAGCGAACAAGUACCGCGAGGGAAAGAUGAAAAGGACUUUGAAAAGAGAGUUAAAAAGUGCUUGAAAUUGCUGGGAGGGAAGCGAAUGGAUGCCCUGGGUGCAGCUUGGUUGUGUGCAGAACGGUCAUCCGUGACUGGUCUGCCAAUCAACUGAGUUGCGUGCUAGUGUCAGCAGUGGCAGGAGGACAGACGGUGGGUGCCUUUGGCACRUGCCUUGUGCUCUUGCCGCUGCUGGGGCCUUUAGGAACGCGUCUUCGGACGGGCCCGAUUCGUCGGGUGCCUGCGUUCCUUGGAUGCUGGCUUUUUGGGCUUUUCAUUCGACCCGUCUUGAAACACGGACCAAGGAGUCUAACAUGUAUGCGAGUUGGUGGGUUUCAAACCCAUUGUGGCACAAGGAAACUGAUUUGUGGGAUCCCCUCGAGGGUGCACCACAGGCCGACCAUGAACUUCUGUGAAAGGUUUGAGUGCGAGCAUAUCUGUUGGGACCCGAAAGAUGGUGAACUAUGCCUGAGCAGGGUGAAGCCAGAGGAAACUCUGGUGGAGGCUCGUAGCGAUACUGACGUGCAAAUCGUUCGUCGGACUUGGGUAUAGGGGCGAAAGACUAAUCGAACCUUCUAGUAGCUGGUUCCCUCCGAAGUUUCCCUCAGGAUAGCUGGAGCUCUUGUGAGUUUAUCAGGUAAAGCGAAUGAUUAAAGGCAUUGGGGGACUCGCUCCCUCGACCUAUUCUCAACUUUAAAUGGGUAAGG
rnacentral:rRNA from 1 species